rnacentral:lncRNA from 10 species
GAAGGCUGUAAGACUCUCUGGUCCAUCAUCACACGGGAGGAAUAUAAAUCCUCAGAGCUGUGCUGGGCAGCAUGUUAGCUGCUAGCCACACAUGGCUGCUGGACACUUGAAAUGUUGCUAGUCUGAAUUGUGCUGUGCUGUAAAUGCAAUUCACACCAGAUUUCAAAGGGUGCAGAAACUGAGUUUCAAGUAGAUCCAGCAACUUGCCCAAGUCGUAAAACCAGAAAGAGUGGAGCCGAGAAUCAAAGCUUGGAUGCCUGACCAGAGUGGACCUUUGAAACACUCCUCUGUAUAUUGUCUUCAGGCUGCCUGUAUUUACAAACUCUGAUAUUGACCUCAUUACUUCUCCCCGUUCUGCAGGCAGAAGACUGCU